GGUUUAAAAAAAAAGAAGAAGAAGAAGAAGAAGAAAUUGGAGCCCUUUCAGGCUCAUACCCAGGGCUUUCAAUAUCACAGAGUGCCCACCUUCUCCCCCCACCCCCUCCCCCGACCGGGGUACGUGCCCCCCUCCCCAGUUCAACAGCACCCACGUUAAGAAGUAGCGCGAGAGGGACGCCAGGGGGAGAUGAAGAGCUACAGGGGCUGAUGUUUGCUGAGAACAAAAAACAAAAAACAAAAAAAAAGAAAAACAACAACAAAAAAAGCUAAAGCCCUGGCUGCCCAAGAACCCCAAGGAAGGCAGCCUGAGAUGGGAGCAGAGCGAGCAAGGGCGCCUCCUGUGACAAAGGGGUGCCCCCCCAGAAGGUUCACUUACUCCCUGCAGCUUUUCCAGAUCGAUCCCCGCCCCUCCCCAGCUCAAGAUUUGCUUCUUGAGGGCAAAGGGGAGUUCUUGUAAAGGGUUGGGUGGAUAUGAAGUGAGGGUGGUGUUGGGAAGGAGGAAAUGGCCAUGCUGAAUGAGAAGACCGCAUAAUACCUCACACUUAAUAGCACGUUUACACUUUCAAAGCAAUUUCUGUCUGUUUGCCCUUGAAAUCCUAACACACACACACACACACACACACACACACACACACACACACCCGCCCCGCGCAGGACGUACCCACAGGGCAGCCACUGUGCAGUUGAAUGUGCUGUAAGGUACCAAGCAAAAGAAAUGUAAGGCAUUGGCUUUUUCCGGUAGCCUCGUUUUUCAGGUGGGGAAAACGAGGCACCCACAGCUCCCACGCUCUACCAAAGUCCUUGCACUGUGCGGAGGAAAGCAGAGGCCAGAAGUUUAGAACAUCUUCCCUGCAUGGGAGAAAGGCCUCCUUUGCUGCCAAGAAGCUUUCAGAAAUUUGGAACAUCUUUCUCAAAUACACCCUUCUCCACCUCAUCCCAGAUGAAACCUGGAUUUCCCCUGAUGACAUCAUUUUUCCUAUAAUCCGCAAGGUGAGUCUUCUCAUUCCCCACACACCCUUUCCCCAGCACCUUAGAGUUAGGAUAAUUGUGGCUGUGAAAUCUAUCCACCUUUGUCCAAUAACACCUUCUCCCCUCAUUGUCAGUUUUACAUACCCAACUAAGUCUUGAUACCUGUCCACUUAGAGUUGUCCUCUGCAUUGUUGGGGAGCAUCACUACUAUUGUGAAAUUUUAAAAUAAAGCCCUGCCACCCCCUUGGAGCA
rnacentral:lncRNA from 12 species